rnacentral:rRNA from 1 species
GUAGCGGCGAGUGAAGCGGCAAAAGCUCAAAUUUGAAAUCUGGCACUUUCAGUGUCCGAGUUGUAAUUUGAAGAAGGUAUCUUUGGGUCUGGCUCUUGUCUAUGUUUCUUGGAACAGAACGUCACAGAGGGUGAGAAUCCCGUGCGAUGAGAUGUCCCAGACCUAUGUAAAGUUCCUUCGAAGAGUCGAGUUGUUUGGGAAUGCAGCUCUAAGUGGGUGGUAAAUUCCAUCUAAAGCUAAAUAUUGGCGAGAGACCGAUAGCGAACAAGUACAGUGAUGGAAAGAUGAAAAGAACUUUGAAAAGAGAGUGAAAAAGUACGUGAAAUUGUUGAAAGGGAAGGGCUUGAGAUCAGACUUGGUAUUUUGUAUGUUACUCUCUCGGGGGUGGCCUCUACAGUUUACCGGGCCAGCAUCAGUUUGAGCGGUAGGAUAAGUGCAAAGAAAUGUGGCACUGCUUCGGUAGUGUGUUAUAGUCUUUGUCGAUACUGCCAGCUUAGACUGAGGACUGCGGCUUCGGCCUAGGAUGUUGGCAUAAUGAUCUUAAGUCGCCCGUCUUGAAACACGGACCAAGGAGUCUAACGUCUAUGCGAGUGUUUGGGUGUAAAACCCGUACGCGUAAUGAAAGUGAACGUAGGUAGGACCUCCUUUAGGAGUGCACUAUCGACCGAUCCUGAUGUCUUCGGAUGGAUUUGAGUAAGAGCAUAGCUGUUGGGACCCGAAAGAUGGUGAACUAUGCCUGAAUAGGGUGAAGCCAGAGGAAACU